UCGUAACAAGGUUUCCGUAGGUGAACCUGCGGAAGGAUCAUUACCGAGUGCGGGCUGCCUCCGGGCGCCCAACCUCCCACCCGUGACUACCUAACACUGUUGCUUCGGCGGGGAGCCCCCCAGGGGGCGAGCCGCCGGGGACCACUGAACUUCAUGCCUGAGAGUGAUGCAGUCUGAGCCUGAAUACAAAUCAGUCAAAACUUUCAACAAUGGAUCUCUUGGUUCCGGCAUCGAUGAAGAACGCAGCGAACUGCGAUAAGUAAUGUGAAUUGCAGAAUUCAGUGAAUCAUCGAGUCUUUGAACGCACAUUGCGCCCCCUGGCAUUCCGGGGGGCAUGCCUGUCCGAGCGUCAUUGCUGCCCUCAAGCCCGGCUUGUGUGUUGGGUCGUCGUCCCCCCCCCGGGGGACGGGCCCGAAAGGCAGCGGCGGCACCGUGUCCGGUCCUCGAGCGUAUGGGGCUUUGUCACCCGCUCGAUUAGGGCCGGCCGGGCGCCAGCCGGCGUCUCCAACCUUAUUUUUCUCAGGUUGACCUCGGAUCAGGUAGGGAUACCCGCUGAACCUAAGCAUAUCA
rnacentral:misc_RNA from 1 species